rnacentral:rRNA from 1 species
GUAGGGAAUAUUGGACAAUGGGGGGAACCCUGAUCCAGCCAUGCCGCGUGGAGGAAGACUGCCCUCUGGGUUGUAAACUCCUUUUAUAUGGGAAGAACCGUCCUCAUUAAUGAGUGACCUGACGGUACCAUAGGAAUAAGCACCGGCUAACUCCGUGCCAGCAGCCGCGGUAAUACGGAGGGUGCAAGCGUUAUCCGGAUUCACUGGGUUUAAAGGGUGCGUAGGCGGAUAAAUAAGUCAGUGGUGAAAUCAACGGGCUCAACCUGUUAACUGCCAUUGAUACUGUGUAUCUUGAAUAUGAGAGAGGUAGGCGGAAUGUUGCAUGUAGCGGUGAAAUGCUUAGAUAUGCUACGGAACACCGAUUGCGAAGGCAGCUUACUGGGAUGCAACUGACACUGAUGCACGAAAGCGUGGGUAUCAAACAGGAUUAGAAACCCCUGUAGUCC